AAAAACAUGUCUAUUUGAAGGUUUAAAAAGUCUAACCUGCCCACUGAUAAAUAAAUUUAAUGGGCCGCGGUAUAUUGACCGUGCUAAGGUAGCAUAAUCACUAGUCUUUUAAUUAAAGGCUUGUAUGAAUGGUUGGACAAAGGAAGUACUGUCUUUAUAUUAUUAACUGAAAUUAACUUUUAAGUGAAAAGGCUUAAAUACACUAAAGGGACGAUAAGACCCUAUAAAACUUUAUAUAAAGGUAGAAAAAUUUUAAAUUGAUUUUAAAGAAUAAAGCUAAGUAAUAUAUUUUAUUGGGGCGAUAAGAAUAUAAAAAUUCAUAAUAACUGUUAUUAUAGUAUACUUUAAUUUUUGAGUAACAAAUAAAUGAUCCUUUAUAAAGAUUAAAAGAUUAAGUUACUUUAGGGAUAACAGCGUAAUUUUUUUUGAGAGUUCAUAUCGAAAAAAAAGUUUGCGACCUCGAUGUUGAAUUAAAAUAUCUAUAUAACGAAGAAGUUAUAAAAGAAAGUCUGUUCGACUUUUAAAUUUUUACGUGAUCACCGGAGAUCGCCUGU
rnacentral:rRNA from 1 species